CAGAGAUAAGAUAUAAACAUUUCUGAAUUCAUCAUGAAUAGUUUGAAAUUUGUUUGUAGUUUGAUAAUUAUUUUUUCACUUACAACUGCUGAUAAAAAUUCCCGAAUUACAAAUGGUAAAACUCAUGAUACAGAAGUAAAAGAUAAAAUUGAUGACGUGCCAAGGAUUAUUUACGAUUACGGAAGAAAAACUUCCCCACAUAUUAAAGGAAACGAAAGACAAGAUGACAAUCUUGAAGCUGACAAAGAAAAUGGAAAAAACAUAAAUCCGAAAAUUCCUCCUUACUUUGGUAGUGGAUUUGCUGGUAGAUAAUUCUAUGUAAUGUUAAGUUAAUUAUAAAAAUUAAAUUUUGAUGUAUUUUUAAUGAAGAAUAUAUUUUUAAACUUUUAUUGUGAAUAAAUUUUUGAAAUACAAUAUCUAUGUAAUAAUAUUUGUUUUUAAAUCCUUAUGUAAAUGACUGAAUAGUUUAAUA
rnacentral:lncRNA from 1 species